rnacentral:rRNA from 1 species
AUUGAACGCUGGCGGCAUGCCUUACACAUGCAAGUCGAACGGUAACAGGUCUUCGGAUGCUGACGAGUGGCGAACGGGUGAGUUAUACAUCGGAACGUGCCUAGUAGUGGGGGAUAACUACUCGAAAGAGUGGCUAAUACCGCAUGAGACCUACGAAUGAAAGCAGGGGAUCGCAAGACCUUGUGCUACUAGCACGGCCGAUGGCAGAUUAGGUAGUUGGUGGGAUAAAAGAUUAUCAAGCCGACGAUCUGUAGCUGGUCAGAGAGGACGAUCAACCGCACUGGGACAGAGACACGGACCAGACUCCUACGGGAGGCAGCAUUGGGGAAGUAUGGAGAAUGGGCGCAAGCCUGAACCAGCAGUGCCGCGUGCAAGAUAAAGGUCUUAGGGUUGUAAACUGCUUAUGUACGGAAAGAAAAGCCCUGAGUUAAUACCCUGGUGUCAUGACGAUACCGUAAGAAUAAGCACCGACUAACUACAUGCCAGCCGCCGCCGUAAGAC